rnacentral:rRNA from 1 species
ACGAACGCUGGCGGCGUGCUUAACACCUGCAAGUCGAACGGAAAGGCCCUGCUUGCAGGGUACUCGAGUGGCGAACGGGUGAGUAACACGUGGGUGAUCUGCCCUGCACUUCGGGAUAAGCCUGGGAAACUGGGUCUAAUACCGGAUAGGAGCCAUUUUUAGUGUGAUGGUUGGAAAGUUUUUUCGGUGUAGGAUGAGCUCGCGGCCUAUCAGCUUGUUGGUGGGGUAAUGGCCUACCAAGGCGGCGACGGGUAGCCGGCCUGAGAGGGUGGACGGCCACAUUGGGACUGAGAUACGGCCCAGACUCCUACGGGAGGCAGCAGUGGGGAAUAUUGCACAAGGGGCGCAAGCCUGAUGCAGCGACGCCGCGUGGGGGAUGACGGCCUUCGGGUUGUAAACUCCUUUCGCUAGGGACGAAGCUUUUUGUGACGGUACCUAGAUAAGAAGCACCGGCUAACUACGUG